CCUGGAUUCUUUGAGACAAACAGACACAGUUCAGAGCUCACGGCUUAAAAACUCCAGUUUUUUGCUUAACAGACACUGCUUUUAUUAUCAAACAUUGAAAAUGGAGCAAAAUAUUAAUUUAGACAAUUUUCUAUUUGGUGACGAAGAAGAGAUUGAGGAACGGCUAGCUAAAACUCCAGGAUGGCGUUUAUUAACUGGAAAGAGGGGGAAAAAGAAAUAUUUUGCAGCUUGCCUGGUGGGAAAGGAAGAGACUGAACUUGACAAAGUCGACCUUUCAAAAAAGGAGGUUCAGGAGCUAGAGGAUAAAACUGUGACAAAGUUCACUUUUGGUGACUUUGUUGAAGAUGAGGUACAGGAGCAGGAGGAUAAAACUGUGACAAAGUUCACUUUUGGUGACUUUGUCGAAGAUGAGGUACAGGAGCUGGAGGAUAAAACUGUGACAAAGUUCACUUUUGGUGACUUUGUUGAAGAUGAGGUACAGGAGCAGGAGGAUAAAACUGUGACAAAGUUCACUUUUGGUGACUUUGACGAAGAUGAGGUACAGGAGCAGGAGGAAAAAACUGUGACAAAGUUCACUUUUGGUGACUUUGACGAAGAUGAGGUACAGGAGCAGGAGGAAAAAACUGUGACAAAGUUCACUUUUGGUGACUUUGUCGAAGAUGAGGUACAGGAGCAGGAGGAAAAAACUGUGACAAAGUUCACUUUUGGUGACUUUGUUGAAGAUGAGGUUCAGGAGCAGGAGGAAAAAACAAUGAUAAAGUUCACUUUUGGUGACUUUGACGAAGAUGACCCCCUAAUAAAAGAAACCUGUGGGGUGUCAUUCCACCGGAAGGGGGAUCAAAGCAGACUUGUGGGAAGAAGGUAAAGAAGCAGGAGAAGAAAAAAGACACUGGCCCAAAAGGAAACUGACCUUCAUCUCCUGAAAACUAGAGUCAGGUACAAGUGAAGCAUCCAGCAGCCACUCUGAAUCAGCAGCUGCUCCAAUGAGUCCCUGUGAACCACAGCAAGCUGAAUGAGGAACAGGAGCUGAAAAAACAAACAGCAGAGGAGCAAACAAGGAUGAUGAACAACGAUAAUAAACAGAUACCAUGUGAAAAAAAUGAAAAAAUG
rnacentral:lncRNA from 1 species